CAGGAAAUCAGCAGAGCAGGUCUUGCACAGAGUCAAGAGCAAAUGCCUUUCAUAGGCUUUCCCCUGAGAAAAGCAUGCCCCUGGGACUAACUGUUCGUUCAGGGCAGCCUGGGUAAUUGUCUCUCCAGUUCAGCAGCCUAGGUACUCAGAGGCGCUGCAGCCAUGGUCCAAUGGAGCCCUGUUACUGUUCAAACUGGAGGCAGGCUUUGGGUCCAGGAGACGCUGGUUUUUGCAAGCACACAGAAUACAAGAGUUAAAAGAUCAUGGAGCCUUCUACACAGAUUGAAGACAGGGUUUUUCUGUGGCUUUGGAGGCUGUCCUGGAACUAGCUUUUGUAGACUAAGCUGGUCUUGAACUCACAGAGAUCUACCUACCUGCCUCUGCCUCCCGAGUGCUGGGAUUAAAGGUGUUCGCCAC
rnacentral:lncRNA from 1 species